rnacentral:tRNA from 1 species
GAUGUAGCUCAGUGGUAGAGUUCUCACCUAGCAUGCAUGAGCCCUGGGUUCAAUCCCCAGCAUC